GACGAACGCUGGCGGCGUGCCUAAUACAUGCAAGUCGAACGCAGUGGGGACGGGUGAGGAACACGUGGGUGACCUCCCAUCAGAGGGGAUAACACUUGGAAACAGGUGCUAAACCGAUACUGAUGGAUGGACCCGGGGGGCAUUAGCUUGUUGGUGAGGUAAAGGCUCACCAAGGCCACGAUGCCUAGCCGACCUGAGAGGUUGAUCGGCCACACUGGGACUGAGACACGGCCCAGACUCCUACGGGAGGCAGCAGUAGGGAAUCUUCGACAAUGGACGAAAGUCUGACCGAGCCAUGCCGCGUGAGUGAAGAAGGUUUUCGGAUCGUAAAGCUCUGUUGGUGGGGAGGCGGUAUCUAACCAGAAAGCCACGGCUAACUACGUGCCAGCAGCCGCGGUAAUAC
rnacentral:rRNA from 1 species